CAGUCGCCGCGGUAAUACGUAGGUGGCAAGCGUUGUCCGGAAUUAUUGGGCGUAAAGGGCUCGCAGGCGGUUUCUUAAGUCUGAUGUGAAAGCCCCCGGCUCAACCGGGGAGGGUCAUUGGAAACUGGGAAACUUGAGUGCAGAAGAGAAGAGUGGAAUUCCACGUGUAGCGGUAAAAUGCGUAGAGGUGUGGAGGAACACCAGUGGCGAAGGCGACUCUCUGGUCUGUAACUGACGCUGAGGAGCGAAAGCGUGUGGAGCGAACAGGAUUAGAUACCCGCGUAGUCCCUGUCUCUUAUAC
rnacentral:rRNA from 1 species